GUUGAUAUGUAUCCCUAUGGGGUUUUUCCUAUAGACUCGCAUGCUCACAUUGUUGGAAAUGCCUCAUGGAGUUAACUGUGUGGUUUUGCUCCAUUCACAGAACUACUUG
rnacentral:snoRNA from 1 species